rnacentral:siRNA from 1 species
CCCCAUCCGUUACCCUCCCUCC